rnacentral:rRNA from 1 species
CAAUAGCGUAUAUUUAAGUUGCUGCAGUUAAAAAGCUCGUAGUUGGAUUUCGGGUGGGAAUGGCCGGUCCGCCGUUUCGGUGUGCACUUGCUACGCCCACCUUGCUGCCGGGGACGUGCUCUUGAGUUCACGCUCGGGACACGGAGUCGGCGAGGUUACUUUGAGUAAAUUAGAGUGUUCAAAGCAGGCCUACGCUCUGAAUACAUUAGCAUGGAAUAACACGAUAGGACUCUGGCCUAUCUUGUUGGUCUGUAGGACCGGAGUAAUGAUUAAGAGGGACAGUCGGGGGCAUUCGUAUUUCAUUGUCAGAGGUGAAAUUCUUGGAUUUAUGAAAGACGAACUACUGCGAAAGCAUUUGCCAAGGAAGUUUUCAUUAA